AAUGUUAAAAAUUUAUUCCUUGACUUUUUUCAAAAAAGUAAAUUCGAAGUUUAAACUAAAUCUAUUUCUAUGUGUGUACAAAAUGUCGAAUUAUUUUCAAAGUUCUGCAUAAAAUAUAAUGUACGCUAUAAUUUGCAACAUAAUUUGUAAAAAUAUCAGUUUCCGUUUUAAAGUUACAGCGAAAUUUCUGAAACAAGCUAUAAUUUUAUGAAUAACCCCGGGAGCUUCGCUACCUAACCAAAAAUAAAUACAUACAUUUUUACUACUUUUAUAGAAAUUUUUAAUUGAAUAAACGUUUUAUUAAUGUUUCUGUUCUUAUAUAUAAUAUUAUAUAUAAGAAAUUUAUCAUUAUAGAGAAUCAAAAAGGUAUCAUUUGAAGAAUGGAACAGAAGCAAAGAGUCCCCACUUACAGAUUAUUAUUCAGUCAGGACCAUGUACAUAUGUUCAAAUUUAUGUUUCUAGGUAGAAUAUUUUAGAAAAUUCAAAAAAGUACCAUUUGAGAGAUAAAAAGUUCUCUCAUAAAGAAUCAUAUUCAAAAAGGACCGAGUAUGUUUAAUAAUCAUGUGUUUUAAACUCAUACCAUAGAACAUACAAAUAGUAUCAUUUGAAGAAAGAAAAAGUACCAAAAGUGGAAUAAAUUCUACCUUUAUGGAAAGUACUAAUAAAAAGAGUAUUUUCCCCUUUUAGUCUAGGAAUAUACUUUUUCGAGAAUUAAGUUUACAAAAUAUUCCGUCUUUAAAUCUAUAAUCGAUUCAAAUAUGCAUUCAUUUGUUCCAGAUAUAAUCGAUUCAAAUAUGCAUUCAUUUGUUCCAGAAAAAUUGUGCUUUCAAAAAGUACCAAACAAAAUACCCGAAUCUGGUCCCAAAUUCCAAAAUAAUGUACCAAUAGCUUAUUUUGUGUGAGUAAAUAAACUAUUUUUGAAAAUUUUAUAAAAAUUGGUUCAAUUAGUUUAAAUAAAUUAAAUUUCCAGUUUUUUCCCCUUUUUGGUACUUUUUCCCCAAUGAAAUAGCAAAUAUUUUGUUUCAAUACAUAUUACGGAGUUAGUACGUAAUUUAAUAGGUAUACGCCAAUAAGUCGAAAUAGUUUUCUUAGGCCCAUUAUUAUAACUUGCCAAUAACUAAAGUUAGGAAGUUAUCGUACAGAUAAUGUGUUUUUCGUUAUUACAAGACAACUUUAGCUAAAAGUGUCCGAUAGGCUAACGGGAAGAUCACCUUACCUUUAUCUUUUAACGUAAGCUUUAGGAUUUUUUUUUUUAAAUAUGAAUGAAAAAUAAAUUCAAUGUUAUUUUUCAUAUGAAAAAUAUUAUUAACGGCUAAAAGUAUAACAAAAAUUAUGUUGUAGUAAUGAAAAUAUUUAAAGUUCACAUUAUUCCUCACUUUAUUUAAAGUUACCUUUUAUUAUUACGAACAUUAAAGGCAAGUUGUAAUAAUGGCCCUUAAUAAUAAUUGUUGUAAUAAUGGCCCUUAAUAUAAAAUUAAUAUAAAUAAUAUAAUAAUUUUGGAAGAUAUGUAUAUCCAAAAUAUUUAAAUUUUUUUUUCGUUUAUUAGAUACAAAUUUACAAAGGACCAAAAAAGAUACCAAAAACACUUUUGUUACACAUUUUCACCCGUUAAAAGUACGAAUUUUCAGAAAGUACCAGACACCCAAGAGUAGAUACAGGUGUAUUUAAAAUGUUCUUGUAUCACUAAGACCUGGUUUACACUGGAAAACUUUUGUUGAGAAACUUUUGAUUUAGUGUGUGAGAGAAAGAGAUGGUUAAUAUUUCUUUUUCUUUCUCUCACACACAAAAAUCAAAAGUUUCCCAGUGUGAGCCAUUGUAUAAGAAAAUUAAGAAAAUCAUUUUUACCCGUUUUUUCUCUUUUUUACCCCUAAAUGUACAAUUUUCCAGUCGUUUGGGCUGUGCGAUGAUGAAUCAGUCAGUAACGCUAAAAAUAUGCAUUUUCGAUGAUUCGUCCCAAAAAAUUUAAUAUACAUACACAUUAAAAUUAAGGCUACCCUGAAUUAAUCGCCAUUUUAGGUGCCAUCAAACCCACUCUGCGACGCUUAAACGCCAUAAAAACUUACAAAUUAUAGUAUUUUGAUAUAUAACAAUAUAUGUAUGUCUGUCCAAAAGUUUAAGGAUCUGGACAAAAAAAGUAAAAAAAAUAACAAAGCUAACGAUUUUUUUAAGUUUUUAAUUACGAAAUUUUAAAUUUUCUACACUGAAAAUAAUCCAUGCUCAACUUUACGAAAAAAAUUUCGUAACUUCUAUUUUCGUAAUAUUUAAAAAAAUUUCGUGUAUAAUACGAAAUAUUAUUUAAUAAAACCCUUUUCUAUUUUUACGAAAGUACGAAAACCUUUCGUAAUAUUUUUUUCUUAAAUUUUAGCGAAAUUAAACAUAAUGAUAUUAACUAUAUUAUGAUUAAAUAAAACUACAACAUUUUUAUAAAAUUUAAGAAAAAGUAUAAUAUUAUUCACGAAUUAUUUUCAUAAAAAAAAUUAAAAAUUCGUGUGGAGAAUAAUUUUGAGCUAAAAUUAGAAAAAUUAUUUUAAAAUGAACAAAAAUGUUUGCAUAAAUUAAUAUUUCGUAAAUUUUACCAUAUUUAUUCAAAAUUCCCUUUUUUCGUAUAUAUUACGAACGAAUUUCGUGGUGCGAAACAACGAACGAUAUUCAAUUUUCUAAAAAUUUUAUUCGAGAUGUUAUUACCACUAAAGUUGUGAAUAAUAAAAUUUUCCAAAGAAUUAAUAAACUUUGAUAAUUGCCCAUAUAUGUAUGUAUUAUAUCCUCCACAGUUUUAAAUUUUAUUUAAACCUUUUAAAAUAAUCAUUAAUUUGUCAACAUUCCUUAUUUCCUUCAACACACUGUCACAUUAUAUAUCAACUUAAAAAAUUUGCACGAAAAACAUAUUUAAGUACAUCAAAGCUCAAUAGUGCACCAGUAAAAAUUAUCAUUUAUUUGUUUGUAUUUUCUUCUUUCUUUUUAGUUCGAUCUAUUUUUUUCUUUUUUUUUUCUUCUCUUCCCUAUAUGCUAUAAAUAUUUUUGUUUCUCAGCACCCAGUGCCUCUAAGACUGUGAAAAUUAAACUUGUUAUUAAAAAAAUAAAUAAACAAAUGAAACAUAAAUUUUAUGUUAAAAAAGGUGUUAACUUUUUGGGUCUUACUUCAAAGUUUAAAUCCGUUAAGCAUAUCGUUUCUAAUAUUUAAGCAAAAUAAAAAUUUAUUCAAAAUUGUUGCAAUAAUUAUUUGUUAUAAAACACUAAAGUAAAAAACAUUUUGAGUAUGUAGCCAUACAUAAAAACAUUAAUAAUUAAAACUAAUGUAGCAGUAGAUAAAUUAGUUGAACCAAAAAAAUAAGCUUAGUAAAUAUAAACUGUAGUCGCCUGCUUAGAAAAAUUAAAAUAAUAGACAAAAAAUAAUAAUUUAAAAAAUAAAAAAAACUAACAAAAACAUUGAAAAGAAAGCAAUCAUUUAAAAUUAGUUGGUUUAUAAAGAAAUUAAGAUAAUUAUUAACAAAAUUAUUUUAACAUACAUUAAAAAACCUGUAGUAUGGUUAAAUUUAAACCAAUAACCUAAAUUUAAAACUCAGCUGCAACAAUUUAUUACUUGUUAAUCAUAAAAUUAAAAAAAAAAAAACACAAAAAAAUCUAAAACUAUAGGAAUGCAAAAUAAUGAUUAAAAUGCAGAAAACUAUAACUAUUUUCCUAAUAUACAAAUACUUACAUUAAGUUCAUUUUUAAUAAUAUCUACGAAAAUGUUUAUUUAAAUUUAAAUAUUUCCUUUUUUAUUUCUAAAAUAAAAUAUUUUUUAAGAUCUACUGUAGUUCAGAUUUAUUUAGUAAAUAACAUUAUAAUAUGUUUGUAUGAAUGUGUACAUUAGAGGUGCCAACAAAUAUCGAUUUUCCUGCGAUGGGUCUUUUUCAUUAGUGUCUAAAACUAACGAACCUACUUAUGUGUGUCAAAUCAGAUAACAGGAACCCGCACCGGAAAUCUAAAUGUAAAAAUCUGUAAUUAAAACAUAAAUAUUUAAUUUUAAUUAUUUUAUUUUUUGAACGAAUUAGAGUCUGUUUGUGAUGGAGAUGAGAUCACUAAUUUUUGACGAUAUUUAAGUAAAAUUUUUCACAUUUUUAUACUAAAUCACUAUUUUACAUAAUUUAGAUGAAAAAUAUAUGUUUGUUUAGAGAAUCGGAUAAUUUCUUAAUAGGAAUUGUGUCAAGACUCUGAUAUGAUGUUUCCAUGAACUAGGAAACAUUUUACAGUAGUCAGAAUCGCACUUUAGGUCUUUCUUCACCUUUAUUAUGAUUAAAGUACCAUUUAUCGUUAAAAGCCUUUUUAUUAAAAAAUUUUGGGAAAUUUUCCGGGUGACCAUCCGUUCCAAAUAUGUAUGUAUAUUAGUUUUGUAGAAAAAAUUUUAUUUUUUAUGUUUCUUUGCAAAUUAAAAAUGGUAUAGAUUAAUAAAUUAAUAAUGGUAUUUAGGAAUAAGUUAACCAAUAAUUUUAAGAAAAUGGCUUUUAUUGUUAGGCGGUUCUUAUAUUAGGAUAAUGAUCCAAUUACACAAAGCUCACUAACUGUAAUUUUUGCUGCUGUUAAUCCAUUCAAACUUCAUGAAAACGUUAACUCUAAGUCCUGUCAUAAUUUCUCUUAACUAAAACCUGUGUUUUUCAUCAAAUCUCAGUCGAAUAGGGAUUUAAUUAGCAUAAAAAUGUAAACAAAGUUUACAUACUUAUUGUCAAAAUUAGCCAUUUCUAUCCCAAACAGUCUCUCGUUCUAAAAUAUAAAAUACUUAAAAUUAAAUAUUUAUUUUUUAAUUACAACAAGAAAAAUAAUAAAUUUGUACAACUGUCCGAGUUUGGCUUGGGCAUUUUUUCUGAAGUAGUAGAAUCUUUUUGAAAGGGUUAGAAUUGCGCUAGAUCAAAAAAGACCAAUUUUCGCAUACUAUAAUUAAAUAAAAUUCUUCUAUUCAUACCCUAAACCACUUUAGUGGGGACGGUAAAAAAUAUCUGUCAUACUCACCUACUAAUCGUCUUAGAAUCAUUUACCGAGCCCAUUAAUCAACCAAUGAAAAACUAUUAAAUCUGUCCAUAGUGCUAUUAAGCUCAUAAUUAUGUUAAAUAUACCUAUAUCACGGGGAAAAAA